rnacentral:rRNA from 1 species
AGUGAACGCUGGCGGUAGGCCUAACACAUGCAAGUCGAACGGCAGCACAGUAAGAGCUUGCUCUUACGGGUGGCGAGUGGCGGACGGGUGAGGAAUACAUCGGAAUCUACUUUUUCGUGGGGGGUAACGUAGGGAAACUUACGCUAAUACCGCAUACGACCUACGGGUGAAAGCAGGGGAUCUUCGGAACUUGCGCGAUUGAAUGAGCCGAUGUCGGAUUAGCUAGUUGGCGGGGUAAAGGCCCACCAAGGCGACGAUCCGUAGCUGGUCUGAGAGGAUGAUCAGCCACACUGGAACUGAGACACGGUCCAGACUCCUACGGGAGGCAGCAGUGGGGAAUAUUGGACAAUGGGCGCAAGCCUGAUCCAGCCAUACCGCGUGGGUGAAGAAGGCCUUCGGGUUGUAAAGCCCUUUUGUUGGGAAAGAAAAGCAGCAGGUUAAUACCCCGCUGUUCUGACGGUACCCAAAGAAUAAGCACCGGCUAACUUCGUG